rnacentral:rRNA from 1 species
UACGAAGGGGGCGAGCGUUGUUCGGAUUUACUGGGCGUAAAGGGCGCGCAGGCGGCUCAUUUUGUCAGGCGUGAAAGCCCCGGCUUAACCUGGGAACUGCGUUUGAUACGGAUGGGCUAGAGUUCGGGAGAGGAGAGUGGAAUUCCCAGUGUAGAGGUGAAAUUCGUAGAUAUUGGGAAGAACACCGGUGGCGAAGGCGG